rnacentral:rRNA from 1 species
GAGGGUUUUACUGUCUCUUGCUUCCAAUCAGUGAAAUUGACCUUCCCGUGAAGAGGCGGGAAUACAUUAAUAAGACGAGAAGACCCUAUGGAGCUUUAACUACUUGACCCAAAAAUAAAUUUCAUCGCUAGGAACAAAACACUCUUCAUGGGCCAACAGCUUUGGUUGGGGUGACCUCGGAGAACAAGAAAUCCUCCGAGCGAUUUUAAAGACUAGACCUACAAGUCAAUCACGCAAUCGUUUAUUGAUCCAAAAUGAUCAACGGAACAAGUUACCCUAGGGAUAACAGCGCAAUCCUAUUCAAGAGUCCAUAUCGACAAUAGGGUUUACGACCUCGAUGUGGGAUCAGGACAUCCCGAUGGUGCAACCGCUAUCAAAGGUUCGUUUGUUC